UACGUAGGGCGCAAGCGUUGUCCGGAAUUAUUGGGCGUAAAGAGCUCGUAGGUGGUCUGUUACGUCUGCUGUGAAAACCCAGGGCUUAACCCUGGGCCUGCAGUGGAUACGGGCAGACUAGAGGUAGGUAGGGGAGAAUGGAAUUCCCGGUGUAGCGGUGAAAUGCGUAGAUAUGUGGAGGAAUACCGAUGGCGAAGGCAGCCCCCUGGGAUAACACUGACGCUCAUGCACGAAAGCGUGGGGAGCAAACAGG
rnacentral:rRNA from 1 species